GUCCUGGCUGUAACGAUGAACACUUGGUAUAGCGGUAUCGAAUCCUGCUGUGCCGGAGCUAACGCAUUAAGUGUUCCGCCUGGGAGUACGGUCGCAAGGCUGAACUCAAGGAAUUGACGGGCCCGCACAAGCGGUGGAGCAUGUGGUUUAAUUCGACGCAACGCGAAGAACCUUACCUGGGCUCGAAAUGCAAUGGAAGUCGGAUGAAAGUUCGGCGCCCGCAAGGGCUGUUGUAUAGGUGCUGCAUGGCUGUCGU
rnacentral:rRNA from 1 species